GCAGGCACAUACACACCAAGGUUGUUUACUCCAACUGACAACGCGUGUCAGCGCCAUCUUGCAACGGAGAAUGUGGGGGCGGCUCCCCACAAGAUGGUAAAAUAGUUUCACCAGGCCUAUAAUAUGCCCUUCCCAUGGUCCAUCAGCUCAUGCAUUGAAUGCGGGCAGUGAGGAUGAAGAUGAAACCUUUGAUGGGUUAAUCUUGGCUAGGUGUGGCAAAAGGUAACUGCAUUUGCCAUUUAUCAUUUCCUACCCCUAAGCACUGAUUAUCAAUUCACCCAAUCAUCACAAAGUAUAUAUGGGUCUUUCCAUACCUGAGCAUUGCAAUGCCGCUGACACUGACCUACAAAUUCGGAAAAAUAAAAUUUUCCUUAACUGAGACAACUGAUUCUGCUUGAUAUAGUGCAGGAGUCUAAUGCCCGCUGACCAUUUGUGUGAAGAUGCCGAGACUUACCUUCUGAAUAGAUGAUAUUUGUCAUCCUGGUAAGUAGCACAGUUUGUGUCCCACUAUCAGGUAUAGCUAUGCCUUCUGAUGACACGGGUCUAUGAUGACAAACCUACGUCAUCAAUAGAGGUGAUGACAUAAAUAUUAUGCUCUGGUUCCAGCUGCUGAGGCCUGGGUUAAAGGACAGGGGAUAAAUGAGGGACUAAUGCCAUCUGGCCUUUCCCAUUGGUCCAUGCACAAGUCAUCAUUCACCCAGCAGUGUUUCCCUUCUGGGAAAUCCUGUUAAGUCCAUGUGCCCUUCUCAAGAGGAGAAUGAGUCCUUCCAAGGAAGGCACAUUUUGGCAUAAUCAAAGUAUAUCCAGGUAUAAGCACACUGCUCAUUUCCUUCUAUUCUCUUCUGUAUUUCAGUGAAAGAGGAUGCAGUCUUGGUUUCUCAAUCAUUUCACCUUCAGGCACGUCGAAAUAUCAGCUUAAGUACCAAGGUCUCCUUUGGAUAUCCUCAUUUAAACAUUAGAAAACAAGACUUUCUAGGAAUCAAAUGAGAUCUAAGCCAUAAAACUUGGGUACACCCUUCCUUUUCUGCAAUCCAAUCUGACUAAGAUCAUGAUGAAAGGAUGGUAAUUAAAGAUGCCUUGUCUUUUAGAAUUCCAAUUAGUAGGUAUUGGGUAACUGGGAUGUGAAUUUUCGAACAGGUGGGACACAAGAAAUGGAUCAGUACUUUCAUUCCAUUGUAAUUACACAGCACAUUGACAAUUGAAUGUAAUUUCAAAUACCUUCCAUACUGAUUUUUACUGCCUUGGCAAGAGCUUUAUGAUCUCACUGUUACAGGAAGUAUUCAUGCUCCAGUCUUGCAUAGAUUUUGCUCAAGAGAGUCCUAUUGGCAGGCACAGGAGUGCAGGGAGAUCAGUAGGAUACUUUCUGAGGGACAAAGGAAGACAGAGACUCACAGUGUAAUAGUGGACUAAUGUACACAUCAGUGAGUUAAACUCAGAUACCAUUUCUUUUUGUUAGGAUUAGUGAACUUGUCCUGAUAUACAGGCAACAGACCACAUGAGUCAUUUCGACAAUGUACACCUGGAAAUGCAUAACACUCUUGGCAUAGAUGCACAGGCUCAGCAUUUUGUGGAUACCCACUCACCACACUUAAGUGGCAUAAAAUUUAAAACACAUGAUGUCAUCCCAAGCUAUAAAGGCCUCCAUCCUUCCUGUGACAAGGCAGUGUAAGAGAACAGGUGAAGGGAUCCUAUGCAUGUAGUGCUUUGGCAGUAAUGAUACUUGAGGUUAUACAUCCUACAAUGGUGUGUACUCAUUGAUAUCAGAGUGAAAUAGGAUAGCAUUGUGGAGAGUAGAUGGGAUAUCUUGAACCUAGUGAGACACAGGGAAUGAUCAGGUGGUACAUGUUUUAACCAGACCUAUAAUAUGCCCUUCCCUUGGUCUGUCACCUCAUGCAUUGAAUGCUGGCAGUAAGGAUGAUUAGGAAACCAGUGAUGUGUUAAUGUAGGCUAGGUGUGGCAAAAGGUAUCUGCAUAUGCAAUUUAUCAUUAUGUACACCUACACACUGAUUACAAAUGCGCACAAUCAUCACAAUGUAGAUAUCGGGCAUUCCAAACUUGAACAUUGCGAUUGUGCUGACACCGACUUGCAAACUUGGAACCAUAAAAUUUUCUUCACUGAGAAACUGAUUCUGCUUGAUACCCUCAGGAUUCUAAUGCCCGCUGGCUAUUUGUGUGAGGGUUUCCUAGACAUACCAUCAAGAUAGAUGGUCUUCGUCAUCCUGGAUAGCAGCAAUUUUUGUGCCCCACAAGCAGGUAUAGCUAUGCCUUCUGAGAAAUGAGGGACAAAUCCCAAUAGGCCUUAUUCAUAGGCCAGUUCACAGGCCCUCAUGCACCCAGCAGUGUUUCCCUUCUGGGGAAUCCUGUUAAGUCCAUGUGCCCUUCUCUAGGUGAGCAUGAGUCCUGCGAAGGAAGGUCCUUUUUGGCAAAAUCUAAGUAUGUGCAGCUGGACAGCAUGAGGACACUGCUCAUUUCCAUCUAUUCUCUUAUGCAUUUCAGUGAAUGAGGAUGCAGUCUUGGUUUCUCAAUCAUUUCACCUUGAGAUACAUGGAAAUAUCAGCUUAAGUACCUAGGUCUCCUUGGAUAUCCUCCUUCAAACAUUAGAAACAAGACUUUCGAGGAAUCAAAUGAAAUCUAAGCCAUAAAACUUGGGUACUCCAUUCCAUUUUGGAAUCCAAUCUGACUAAAACCAUGAUAAAAAGAUUGUAAUUAAAGAUACCUUGUCUUUCAGAAUUCCAAUUAGUUGGUAUUGGGUAACUGAGCUGUGAAUUUUUGAACAGGUGGGACACAAGAAAUGGAUCAGUACAUUCAUUCCAUUGUAAUUACACAGCACAUUUUCAGGUGAAUGAAUUUUCAAAUACCUUCCAUACUGAUUGUUACUGCCUUGGCAAGAGCUUUAUGUUCUCACUAUGCCAGGAAGUAUUCAUGCUCCAGUCUUGCAUAUAUGUUGCUCAGGAGUAUCCCGUCUGCAGACACAGGAGGGCAGGGAGAUCACUAGGGUACCUUUCUGAGAGUCAAAGGAAGACAGAGACUCACUGUUCUAGUGGACUAAUGUACACAUCAGUGACUUAAACUCAGAUAUCAUUUCUUUUUGUUAGGAUUAGAGAACUUGUCCUGAUAUGCAGGCAACAGAGGCUUUCGACUAUGUGUAACUGGACCUGAAUUAUCCUCAUGGCAUAGAUACACAGGCUCAGCAUUAUGUGGAUACCCACUCACCACACAUAAGUGGCAUAAAAUUUAAAACACAUGAUGUCAUCCCAAGCUAUAAAGGGCUGCAUCCUUCCUGUGACAAGGCAGUGUAAGAGAACAGGUGAAGGCAUCCUAUGAAUAUGGGGCUUUGGCAGUUAAGAAACUUGAGGUUAUACAUCCUACAAUGGUGAGUACUCAGUGAUGUCAGAGUGAAAUAGGAUAGCUCUGUGCAGAGCAGAUGAGAAGUAUUGAACCUAGUGAGACACAGUGAAUGAUCAGAUGGUAAAAUGUUUUCACCAGGCCUAUAAUAUGCCCUUCCCAUGGUCUGUCAACUCAUACAUUGAAUGCUGGCAGUGAGGAAGAUAAGGAAACCAGUGAUGUGUUAAUCUAGGCUAGAUGUGGCAACAGGUAAAUGCAUUUGCAAUUUAUCAUAAUGUACCAAUACACACUGAUUAUAAAUGCACAUAAUCUUCACAAUGUAGAUAUUGGGCACUAAACCUGAGCAUUGUGAUUGAGCUGACACUGACUUGCAAAUUUGGGCCAUAAAAUUUUCUUCACAGAGACAACUGAUUCUGCUUGAUACCCUCAGAAUUCUAAUGCCCACUGAUCAUUUGUGUGAAGAUUGCCAAGACCUACCUUCAAGAUAGAUGGUCUUUGUCAUCAUGUAAACGAGGAGGCAGACUUUAUGCCCCAAUCUUUUCACCUUCAGGAGUCUAAUGCCCACGGACCAUUUGUGUGAAGCUUGCCGAGACCUACCUUCAAGUUAGAUGGUCUUUGUCAUCCUGUAAACGAGGAUGCUGACUUUGUGCCCCAAUCUUUUCACCUUCAGGAGUCUAAUGCCCACGGACCAUUUGUGUGAAGCUUGCCGAGACCUACCUUCAAGAUAGAUGGUCUUUGUCAUCCUGUAAACGAGGAUGCUGACUUUGUGCCCCAAUCUUUUCACCUUCAGGAGUCUAAUGCCCAGGGACCAUUUGUGUGAAGCUUGCCGAGACCUACCUUCAAGUUAGAUGGUCUUUGUCAUCCUGUAAACAAGGAUGCAGACUUUGUGCCCCAAUCUUUUCACCUUCAGGUAGGUGGAAAUAUCAGCUUAUGUACCUAUGUGUCCUUUGGAUAUGCUCCUUCAAACAUUAGAUAACAAGUCCUUCUUUGAAUGCAGGGAAAUCUAAGCAAUAAAACUUGGGAUCUCCCUUCCUUUAGGUAACCCAAUCUGACGUGGACCAUGAUAAAAGGAUGGUCACUAAAGAUUUCUUGUCUUUUAGAUUUCCAAUUAGUAGAUAUUUGGUAACUGAGUUGUGAAUUUUGGAAGAGAUGGGACACAAGAAAUGGGUCAGGACUUUCAUGUCAUACAAAUCACACAGAUCAUUGAUAAGUGACUGUAUUUUUCUAAUACCUUCCAUACUGAAUGUUACUGCCUUGGCAAGAGAUUCAAGCUCUCCCUGUGCCAGGACAUAUUCAUGCUCCAGUCUUGCAUAGAUGCUGCACAGGAGUGUCAAGUGUGAAGGCAUGGGACUGUAGGUAGAACACUAGGUUACCUUACUGAGGGUCAAAAAGGAGACAAUGACUCACAGUUUAUUAGUGGAGUAAUGUACACAUCUGUAAGUCAAACUCAGAUAACUUUUUUGUGCUAGGUUUAGAGUACUUGUACUGCCAUACAGGCAUCAGGUCACAUGAAGCAAUUUGACAGUUUGCAACUGACUAGACAUACCAAUCUUGGCCUACAUGAACAGGCUCUGAAUCAUGUGGUUACCCACUCACCAGACAAAAUUCGCAUGAAAUAUCAAACUCACGAAUGACAACCCAAGUUAUAAAGGCCACCAUCUUUAAUGUGAUAAGGAAUUGGCGAAGACGACAGUUGAGGGCAUGCUCUGGAUGUCGUGCUUAGGCAGUUAAGAUAUAUGAAGUUAUGCAUCCUAAAAUGGUGAGUAGUCAAUAAUGUCAGAGUGAAAUGGGUAGCUCUAAGAAGUGCAGUUGAGAUAUCUUGGACCUUGUAAGACACAGGGAAUGAUCAGAUUGUAAAGUGUUUUCACCAAGACUAUAAUAUGCCCUCCCUAUGUUGUUUCACCUCGUGCAAUAAAUGCUGGAAUUGCGGAUGAGGAUGAAAACUGUGAAGGGUUAAACUUGGCUAGGUGUGCAAACAGGUAAAUGCAUUUGCAAUUUGCCGUUAUGUACGCCAAAUCGCUGAUUAUCAAUGUACCCAAUCAUCAUAAUCUAAGUUUUGAGCAUUCCAAACCUGAGCAUUACAAUUCCGCUGACACUGAUUUUCAAAUUUGGAACCCUAAUGUUUUCCUUGACUGAGACAAAUGCUUCUGGUUGAUACCCUGCAGGAGUAUUUGUGUGAAGCUUGCCGAGACCUAACUUCAAGUUAGAUGGUCUUUGUCUUCCUGGAGUCUAAUGCCCACGGACCAUUUGUGUGAAGUUUGCCGAGACAUACCUUCAAGUUAGAUGGUCUUUGUCCUCCUGUAAACGAGGAUGCUGACUUUGUGCCCCAAUCUUCUCACCUUCAGGCAACAAGCCACAUGAGGCAAUUCGACAAAUUGCACCGGGACAGGCAUUGCCCUCUUGCCAUAGAUGCACAGGCUCACCAUUAUGUGGAUACCCACUCACCAGACAAAUUCAUAUGAAAUGUCAAACACAUGAACGACAUUCCAAGUUAUAAAGGCCACCAUGCUUCAUGUGAUAAGGAUUCUAAUGCCCGCAGGCCAUUUGUGUGAACCUUGCCGAGACCUACCUGCAUGUUAGAUGGUUUUUGUCAUCAUGUAAACGAGGAUGCAGACUUUGUGCCCCAAUCUUUUCACCUUCAGUGACCGAGGAUGCAGAUUUGGUGCCCCAAUCUUUUCACCUUCAGGAGUCUAAUGCCCGCGGACCAUUUGUAUGAAGCUUGCCGAGACAUACCUUCAAGUUAAAUCGUCUUUGUCAUCAUGUAAACGAGGAUGCAGACUUUGUGCCCCAAUCUUUUCACCUUCAGGAGUCUAAUGCCCACGGGCCAUUUGUGUGAAGCUUGCCGAGACCUACCUUCAAGUUAGAUGGUCUUUGUCAUCCUGUAAACGAGGAUGCAGACUUUGUGCCCCAAUCUUUUCACCUUCAGGAGUCUAAUGCCCACGGGCCAUUUGUGUGAAGCUUGCCGAGACCUACCUUCAAGUUAGAUGGUCUUUGUCAUCCUGUAAACGAGGAUGCUGACUUUGUGCCCCAAUCUUUUCACCUUCAGGAGUCUAAUGCCCACGGACCAUUUGUGUGAAGCUUGCCAAGACCUACCUUCAAGUUAGAUGGUCUUUGUCAUCCUGUAAACGAGGAUGCUGACUUUGUGCCCCAAUCUUUUCACCUUCAGGAGUUUAAUGCCCGUGGACCAUUGGUGUGAAGCUUGCCAAGACCUACCUUCAAGUUAGAUGGUCUUUGUCAUCCUGUAAACGAGGAUGCAGCCUUGUGCCCCAAUAUUUUCACCCUCAGGAGUCUAAUGCCCGUGGACCCUGGUGUGAAUGCUUGCCGAGACCUACUUCAAGUUACAUGGUCAUUGUCAUCCUGUAAACGAGGAUGCAGACUUUGUGCCCCAAUAUUUUCACCCUAAGUAAACGAGGAUGCAGACUUUGUGCUCCAAUCUUUUCACCUUCAGGAGUCUAAUGCCCACGGGCCAUUUGUGUGAAGCUUGCCGAGACCUACCUUCAAGUUAGAUGGUCUUUGUCAUCCUGUAAACGAGGAUGCAGACUUUGUGCCCCAAUCUUCUCACCUUCAGGCAAUAAGCCACAUGAGGCAAUUCGACAAUGUGCACCGGGACAGGCAUUGCCCUCUUGCCAUAGAUGCACAGGCUCACCAUUAUGUGGAUACCCACUCACCAGACAAAUUCAUAUGAAAUGUCAAACACAUGAACGACAUUCCAAGUUAUAAAGGCCACCAUGCUUCAUGUGAUAAGGAGUCUAAUGCCAGCAGGCCAUUUGUGUGAACCUUGCCGAGACCUACCUGCAUGUUAGAUGGUUUUUGUCAUCAUGUAAACGAGGAUGCAGACUUUGUGCCCCAAUCUUGUCACCGUCAGUGACCGAGGAUGCAGAUUUGGUGCCCCAAUCUUUUCACCUUCAGGUAGGUGGAAAUAUCAGUUUAAGUACCUAUGUGUUUUUUGAUAUCCUCCUUCAAACAUUAGAUAACAAGACCUUCUUCGAAUCCAGUGAAAUCUAAGCCAUAAAAUUUGGGUUCUCCCUUCCUUUAGGGAACCCAAUCUGACUUAGACCAUGAAAAAAGGAUGGACACUAAAGAUUUCUUGCCUUUACAUUUCUAAGUAGUAGAUACGCGGUAACUGAGCUGUGAAUUUUGGAACAGAUGGGACACAAGAAAUGGGUCAGGACUUUAAGGCCAUUCAAAUCACACAGCUCAUUGAUAGGUGAAUAUAUUUUUCAAAUACCUUCCAUACUGAUUGUUCUGCCUUGGAAAGAGCUUCAUGUUAUCACUGUUCCAGGAAGUAUUCAUGCUCCAGUCUAGCAUAGAUGUUGCUCAGGAGAGUCCAGGGUUCAGGCCCAGGGUUGCAGGGAGAUCACUAGGUUACAUUUCUGAGGGUCAUAAGGGAGACAGUGACUCAAAGUGUUCUAGAUGAAUAAUGAACACAACAGUA